CAAUAGCGUAUAUUAAAGUUGUUGCAGUUAAAAAGCUCGUAGUUGGAUUUGUGGUGUGUCCAGUCGGCCUUUGCUCUCUGAGUGAUUGUGCUGUACUGGUCUGCCAUGUUUGGGUGGAAUCUGUGUGGCAUUAAGUUGUCGUGCAGGGGACGCCCAUCGUUUACUGUGAAAAAAUUAGAGUGUUCAAAGCAGGCUUAUGCCGUUGAAUAUAUUAGCAUGGAAUAAUGAUAUAGGACCUUGGUACUAUUUUGUUGGUUUGCGCACUAAGGUAAUGAUUAAGAGGGACAGUUGGGGGUAUUUGUAUUCCAUUGUCAGAGGUGAAAUUCUUAGAUUUUUGGAAGACAAACUACUGCGAAAGCAUUUACCAAGGAUGUUUUCAUUAA
rnacentral:rRNA from 1 species